CCUACGGGAGGCAGCAGUGAGGAAUAUUGGUCAAUGGGCGUAAGCCUGAACCAGCCAAGUCGCGUGAGGGAUGAAGGUUCUAUGGAUUGUAAACCUCUUUUAUAAGGGAAUAAAGUGAGGGACGUGUCCCGUUUUGUAUGUACCUUAUGAAUAAGGAUCGGCUAACUCCGUGCCAGCAGCCGCGGUAAUACGGAGGAUCCGAGCGUUAUCCGGAUUUAUUGGGUUUAAAGGGUGCGUAGGCGGCUUUUUAAGUCAGCGGUGAAAGUCUGUGGCUCAACCAUAGAAUUGCCGUUGAAACUGGGAGGCUUGAGUAUGUUUGAGGCAGGCGGAAUGCGUGGUGUAGCGGUGAAAUGCUUAGAUAUCACGCAGAACCCCGAUUGCGAAGGCAGCCUGCCAAGCCAUGACUGACGUUGAUGCACGAAAGCGUGGGGAUCAAACAGGAUUAGAUACCCUGGUAGUC
rnacentral:rRNA from 1 species